AUUGAACGCUGGCGGCAUGCCUUACACAUGCAAGUCGAACGGCAGCGGACCUUCGGGUGCCGGCGAGUGGCGAACGGGUGAGUAAUGCAUCGGAACGUACCGUUCAGCGGGGGAUAACGUAGCGAAAGUUACGCUAAUACCGCAUAUUCGGUGAGCAGGAAAGCAGGGGAUCGCAAGACCUCGCGCUGAUUGAGCGGCCGAUGUCAGAUUAGCUAGUUGGUGAGGUAAAGGCUCACCAAGGCGACGAUCUGUAGCGGGUCUGAGAGGAUGAUCCGCCACACUGGGACUGAGACACGGCCCAGACUCCUACGGGAGGCAGCAGUGGGGAAUUUUGGACAAUGGGGGCAACCCUGAUCCAGCCAUGCCGCGUGAGUGAAGAAGGCCUUCGGGUUGUAAAGCUCUUUCGGCCGGGAAGAAAUCGCACAGGCUAAUACCUUGUGUGGAUGACGGUACCGGAAUAAGAAGCACCGGCUAACUACGUGCCAGCAGCCGCGGUAA
rnacentral:rRNA from 1 species